AUCUAUAUACAACUCCUUCAGUUAAGGCCCAGGGGCUCAUUACAGAAGAAGAGAUGUAGCAGUUAUAAGAGGAGCCAAUGUGCGGGACAGAUGCUGCUGAACACAAAACUCAUCUUUUCCUCCUCCCGUGGCCACCUGCUUCCUGCCUCAGCAUUUGCACCUACCUCACAGUCCAGCUGCUUCCUCUGCUGUUGGCUCCACAGCUCCCUCAGUAAAGGCACAAGUGCUGUGUGAGCAGUGACCCCUUGCCACUUCCCUGUCAUGGUCCAGCUGCCUUUUAGCCUGAGCACUGACGUUAACAGAUUCCUCUUACAUUUAGGAUAUCAGUCUGUGACCAUUCUUCAUUACUGUCCUUGUCCAUUUGCCUUGUCUCCUGCUUCUUCUGUUCAAAGCUCAGAGAUUCUUCAACAUGUCUCAAAUACCUCAUGGUUGGAUUGCAGAAAGAGUGUUGCACAACUCCUUGAAUUUUGCUUAUUCUCUCUCUAAAUGGAAGGGAAAUCGCCCUAAGGGGAAGAUGAAAUAAAUAAAUGCUUCUAGAUGCAUUUAA
ensembl:lincRNA 4930428D20Rik RIKEN cDNA 4930428D20 gene